CUUCUCAAUAGUUCCACUUGUUACGUUUAAUGCUUUACUCACAUUUUCCAAUGUAUAUCAGUGGUAUGAAACAGUUACUAAAAUUGUUCCUAAUAGGCCCAUUCGUUCUGCUGGCACUGCUCUCAUUGGAAGAAGUUGCAUCUGAGUGGGCGCCGAUCAAAAUGAACCACAUGCUUUGUCAGAAACAGGACGGUAAACUCGUUCCUUGCAAAUGCGAAUGGGCAGGCAAUAUUUAUUCGUGUACAGGACCCUAAGCAAAAGUAAAUAAAUUGCGCAGUAAAAAAA